AUACGUAGGGAGCGAGCGUUGUCCGGAAUUACUGGGCGUAAAGGGAGCGUAGGCGGGAGGGCAAGUCAGAUGUGAAAUACAAGGGCUCAACCCCUGGGCUGCAUUUGAAACUGCAUUUCUUGAGUGAAGGAGAGGUAAGCGGAAUUCCUGGCGUAGCGGUGAAAUGCGUAGAUAUCAGGAGGAACACCGGUGGCGAAGGCGGCUGACUGGGCUUUUACUGACGCUGAGGCUCGAAAGCGUGGGGAGCAAACAGGAUUAGAUACCCUGGUAGUCCACGCUGUAAACGAUGAUUACUAGGUGUGGGGGGACUGACCCCUUCCGUGCCGCAGUUAACACAAUAAGUAAUCCACCUGGGGAGUACGGCCGCAAGGUUGAAACUCAAAUGAAUUGACGGGG
rnacentral:rRNA from 1 species